rnacentral:rRNA from 1 species
CGGGACACGUGGUAUCCUGUCUGAAUAUGGGGGGACCAUCCUCCAAGGCUAAAUACUCCUGACUGACCGAUAGUGAACCAGUACCGUGAGGGAAAGGCGAAAAGAACCCCGGCGAGGGGAGUGAAAAAGAACCUGAAACCGUGUACGUACAAGCAGUGGGAGCACGCUUAGGCGUGUGACUGCGUACCUUUUGUAUAAUGGGUCAGCGACUUAUAUUCUGUAGCAAGGUUAACCGAAUAGGGGAGCCGAAGGGAAACCGAGUCUUAACUGGGCGUUAAGUUGCAGGGUAUAGACCCGAAACCCGGUGAUCUAGCCAUGGGCAGGUUGAAGGUUGGGUAACACUAACUGGAGGACCGAACCGACUAAUGUUGAAAAAUUAGCGGAUGACUUGUGGCUGGGGGUGAAAGGCCAAUCAAACCGGGAGAUAGCUGGUUCUCCCCGAAAGCUAUUUAGGUAGCGCCUCGUGAAUUCAUCUCCGGGGGUAGAGCACUGUUUCGGCAAGGGGGUCAUCCCGACUUACCAACCCGAUGCAAACUGCGAAUACCGGAGAAUGUUAUCACGGGAGACACACGGCGGGUGCUAACGUCCGUCGUGAAGAGGGAAACAACCCAGACCGCCAGCUAAGGUCCCAAAGUCAUGGUUAAGUGGGAAACGAUGUGGGAAGGCCCAGACAGCCAGGAUGUUGGCUUAGAAGCAGCCAUCAUUUAAAGAAAGCGUAAUAGCUCACUGGUCGAGUCGGCCUGCGCGGAAGAUGUAACGGGGCUAAACCAUGCACCGAAGCUGCGGCAGCGACGCUGAUGCGUUGUUGGGUAGGGGAGCGUUCUGUAAGCCUGUGAAGGUGUGCUGUGAGGCAUGCUGGAGGUAUCAGAAGUGCGAAUGCUGACAUAAGUAACGAUAAAGCGGGUGAAAAGCCCGCUCGCCGGAAGACCAAGGGUUCCUGUCCAACGUUAAUCGGGGCAGGGUGAGUCGACCCCUAAGGCGAGGCCGAAAGGCGUAGUCGAUGGGAAACAGGUUAAUAUUCCUGUACUUGGUGUUACUGCGAAGGGGGGACGGAGAAGGCUAUGUUGGCCGGGCGACGGUUGUCCCGGUUUAAGCGUGUAGGCUGGUUUUCCAGGCAAAUCCGGAAAAUCAAGGCUGAGGCGUGAUGACGAGGCACUACGGUGCUGAAGCAACAAAUGCCCUGCUUCCAGGAAAAGCCUCUAAGCAUCAGGUAACAUCAAAUCGUACCCCAAACCGACACAGGUGGUCAGGUAGAGAAUACCAAGGCGCUUGAGAGAACUCGGGUGAAGGAACUAGGCAAAAUGGUGCCGUAACUUCGGGAGAAGGCACGCUGAUAUGUAGGUGAAGCGACUUGCUCGUGGAGCUGAAAUCAGUCGAAGAUACCAGCUGGCUGCAACUGUUUAUUAAAAACACAGCACUGUGCAAACACGAAAGUGGACGUAUACGGUGUGACGCCUGCCCGGUGCCGGAAGGUUAAUUGAUGGGGUCAGCGCAAGCGAAGCUCUUGAUCGAAGCCCCGGUAAACGGCGGCCGUAACUAUAACGGUCCUAAGGUAGCGAAAUUCCUUGUCGGGUAAGUUCCGACCUGCACGAAUGGCGUAAUGAUGGCCAGGCUGUCUCCACCCGAGACUCAGUGAAAUUGAACUCGCUGUGAAGAUGCAGUGUACCCGCGGCAAGACGGAAAGACCCCGUGAACCUUUACUAUAGCUUGACACUGAACAUUGAGCCUUGAUGUGUAGGAUAGGUGGGAGGCUUUGAAGUGUGGACGCCAGUCUGCAUGGAGCCGGCCUUGAAAUACCACCCUUUAAUGUUUGAUGUUCUAACGUUGACCCGUGAUCCGGGUUGCGGACAGUGUCUGGUGGGUAGUUUGACUGGGGCGGUCUCCUCCUAAAGAGUAACGGAGGAGCACGAAGGUUGGCUAAUCCUGGUCGGACAUCAGGAGGUUAGUGCAAUGGCAUAAGCCAGCUUGACUGCGAGCGUGACGGCGCGAGCAGGUGCGAAAGCAGGUCAUAGUGAUCCGGUGGUUCUGAAUGGAAGGGCCAUCGCUCAACGGAUAAAAGGUACUCCGGGGAUAACAGGCUGAUACC